CUUGGUUCAGGGAGGGUCCCCA
rnacentral:miRNA from 1 species